rnacentral:rRNA from 1 species
GUGGGGAAUUUUGGACAAUGGGCGCAAGCCUGAUCCAGCAAUGCCGCGUGUGUGAAGAAGGCCUUCGGGUUGUAAAGCACUUUUGUCCGGAAAGAAAUCUCCUGGGUUAAUACCUCGGGGGGAUGACGGUACCGGAAGAAUAAGCACCGGCUAACUACGUGCCAGCAGCCGCGGUAAUACGUAGGGUGCGAGCGUUAAUCGGAAUUACUGGGCGUAAAGCGUGCGCAGGCGGCUAUGCAAGACAGAUGUGAAAUCCCCGGGCUCAACCUGGGAACUGCAUUUGUGACUGCAUGGCUAGAGUGCGUCAGAGGGAGGUGGAAUUCCGCGUGUAGCAGUGAAAUGCGUAGAGAUGUGGAGGAACACCGAUGGCGAAGGCAGCCCCCUGGGCCAAUACUGACGCUCAUGCACGAAAGCGUGGGGAGCAAACAGGAUUAGAAACCCCGGUAGUCC